UUUGGGGGGGGUGGAAGUAGGUGCUGGGGAGGGAGGUAAAGACUCCUCGUCUCGGAAGGGUGGGGAAAGUGGGAGAUCGGAGGCGGUCCCUGAUGAUGAGUUUGGAGACUCCUCCUUUUGGCUGUCGCUAGGCGGGGGCAUCCUUCCCGUAAGGUCUCCAUGGCGAUGCUGUGUGGUUAUCUCUUGUUUAGACGACUCUUGUCUCUUGUCUUAGGCAGUGGGAACAGACGGAUGACGCAGGCAGAAAAAUAGGUUAGAGGUAAACAGUUUUACCCCUGACUUGUUCAAGCAAACUCCAUGUGCCGUAAAAAGAUGUCUGCGCUCCCAGAAAAGGUAGGAAUUGUUGAUAAAAUGUACUGAAUGGUCAGUACAUACAGUUGACAGCCAUUUGUUCAGUGCAAACAGCCUGCUGAAUCCUUCAUCUCCUCCUCUGACUGGUGGAAGAGGGCCACUGAUAAACACCUCAGCCUUGACAGAGCUGACUGUGUUUAACAGAUCAAUAAAGUCUCACUUCAGAACUUCAGACUGUUGUUUCACAAUAUCACAGCUUCCUGUGUGCACGAUGUUUUUCACUGUGGGAUAGUCAGCCACGAUGUCCAGGAUUGUGUCUCUCAUGUUAGAGACCAUAUCUUUCGGAAAGCAGAGUAUUUUGGUAUUCUUGCUGCACAGUGUUCUGACAUCUUUUACAGCAUAGUCACCAACAAUCAGAGUCUCAGGCCCAGUCAUUAGCUUUGCCUGCGGCCUUUUACUCUCACAUUUACUCUCAGUUCUUACCCUGCUUUGAGGAGAUAGCUGCUUAUCCAGGUCAUCAGAUGGAGAUUUAGGAUCCUGCGACAAUGGAGCAAAUCUGUUUUGAAGUUGUAGGCUUGGUUGUUGUGGAGGUUUUUUGCAGGUUUUACUUUUCUCAGCUGUCCUUGUCCGUCUGAGUGCAGGGGUUGAGGAGUUCUGCCUGUGUGCUAGUGCAGGCCAGCCAGUCGCAUCAUAAAUCUCAGGGCGCUGGGCUCUGCCUGUUAGUCGUCCUCCCACAUCCUGAGGGUAUGAUUUUCUCUUCGGCUUUGUACCGAGAGAGUUCCAGGGAGGACUACCAUUUGAAGAUUCAUUAUCUGCUCUCGCCUCGUUUCUUGGUAGGCCUGGUUGUGCUAGUUAGCUGUGUCUUAGCUUGCGUUUGUCCAGUGUUUUGAGUCCAUGGUAAAGUGGUAUCAUUCCCACACAGUCCAUUUACCUCCACGUUUAUUUCUAGUCGGUGGAUUUUUGUUUCCAAGACUGCAAUCUUCUGUAGGAGUUUGUAGUAGUCGUCCGUGGAGAAGGGAGGCAUCUUGCUGCUACUUAGCUUUAGCUUAGCUGCUAGUUAGCAUUUGCUAACAACCCAAAUAGGUCGACAACUUUCUGGAUUUGUCUUCACUCAAACGUUGAAGAGUGAUAUAUGUGAUAUAUCUGGCAAAUUGAAGCAAGAAAAUGCAAGCAGAGGCAAGAGCAAGCAGCAAGUGCAGUUAGUUUCUGUAUCACUACUUCUUAAUUCAUUGACAGCCAGCCGUCUCUGCUCCAUAGACUCUUCAGUGGUUUCAGAUUGUCUUCGUUUUCAGGCUGGUUCAGUGAAUUUGGAGCAAAUCAUAGUGAAACUUGUAAUAGUGAUACUCGAUAUCAGGAGAGGUAGAAGAUGAUAUUAGCUAACAUUAGCAGAGUACGUUAGCACAUUACUAACUAAUGUUAGCAUGUCUAUGCUAUGCUAGCUACUGAAAGUAUAUUGAAUGUCUACACAUGCUUCUUUUGCUUUUUGAUGAUUGUAAAUGUGAAUAAAGAGCUAGCAGCUCUACAGGAACAGUGUUCCUUCUUUCAUUGUCUCAAUCUCCAGGUGAUGUGGUGGUUCACUUCUACUCUGUGAUCUGUAGCUUUAGCAUCUAACCUUUUCUUUUCAUUCCAAUCCAAGUCAAGAGUGUUUGUUUUAGCACUCAGCCUUAACACAACAUAGUAUAACUCUGCUUUGAAACCUACAGGAGGUUUCUAAAGAAAAAUAUACCUUUUUAUGAAUUCAAAUAUUUUAAUAAGAUUUUAAAAACAAACAAUGAAAUCCUUUUUUAAAAGAUGUACAAAACUUUGACAUGUAUUCUGCUCUGUUGAUCAGACACCUUCAGCUAAUGACUAAACAAACUUUAGAAGACAUCAGAAGAAACACACAAUCAUCACACAAACAAAAAUAUAUCAAUGUUUUUUCUUUUUGUUUUGUUUUAUAUUUCAUUCUGGGACAGAUGACAUCACAAUGCAGGUUUCCCUUUCAACAUCCAGUGCAGGCAACAGAUCUCACAGGCGUCGGAGUGGGAAGCCACAAGUGCUGAAAAAGGAAAAUAAAACGUCACCAAAAAUAUUCCAAGUCAUUUGCUGGAGACCAUAAAUGUCCACGGAAAUAUCAUGGAAAUCUGGCCAGUAGAGAUACUUCACUGUGGACCAAAGUGUUGCAUAGACUGAACGAGGAACAUCACCAUCCCUAAGACCUCAGCAUCAAACAACAUGGGGCCAUUUAGAACCGCUAUGAACACAUGAGAUGUGGUCCGAGAACACGUCAUACAAACUAGUUUGUUUGAAGCUUUCUGAAGCCUUUGGGCCUCUGCUGUAGGACAACAACACCUCAACCUGAAUCCUCAGCAGAUAAAGUCAGAACAUUGUUUAAAUCUGGGAACACAGUGACAUUACUGACAAUGAUACUGAUGACCAGACAGGUUGGAAACAAAGUUAGUCAAGAUUAGUGAAGGAUUAUUAUCAGCUCUCAGGUGUGCUCACUUUCAGUUUGCCCUCCAAAUCAAGUGGUUAUAGUCAGUAGUUUCCAAUCCGUUUCAUUGUGACCCUGUAGAAUACAAGUGUUUACUUAUGACCCAGUGUGGAUGUGAGUUGCGAUGAAUUAACCAAACAGUGAUCUUCUCAGAUUGUUUCAUUUUGAAGGAUAUAUAUUGUUUGAAGAGUUAAAAGUGUUCAGUAUUUUACAAGAAAAUGCCAAACAUUUAUGAAAUGUCAGUAGUAAACACUGUGUACUGUAGUUGCAAGUAUUAUUUUCUUUCUUAUCCCUUCAAUCAUGUUGUCUUUAUCUUAUUAACUCCUGGGGGCUCCUGACCUCCAUGUUGGGAACCAUAUGGAUAAUCUGGAUACAUCGUUGUUUCUAAAUGUCCUGUGAGAAUUAAAAAGAAAAACAGCCCUGUUUUCAGCUGUGUGACAAUGCAUGUUCCAGUUCCUUCAAGAGGCUUUUUAAAUAGUUAUUUAGCUGAAGAAGUACGAGAAUUUUCCCUUCUGUAGAUUCGUGGGUUUCACUGGAAAGGAAUGUACAUGGAUUUGUACUUGUAUAGAGCCUUUCAGUCUUCUGACCACUCAAAGCUGUUUAACACUACAUGUGUCAAGUUAUCCGGUUUUUACUGUUAAGUUAAGUUCUUAACGUCUGCAUUUUCCCCACUUGAAAAGGAUCGAGUCCACCUGAAGGGUCCCAACUGGAUUCCACUCAGAAACCAAACAACUUUUCCUUUUUCCUCCUUUUAUUUUUGGUCACACUGUAGGCACUUAAAGGUUGAAGAGGAAUACUGCCACAUCGUCCAUUAACCAAACACGUCUAAGGAAACAUUGAAACAGUACUGUCAUCAGUGUUGCUUUGCUUGUAGCUAGUUCAAAGAUUCCUUUGGACAUUUGGAUAUGACUAAAUUAUUUAAUUGGUAGAGUAUUAUAAGCAGAGGUGUAUUAAUAAAUAAUAUUAAAAUACAAGUUUUGAUUAACCAUAGCAUCACAUGACCAGUGGCACAACAGUUGAAAACUGCCAUGUGUUUGCCAUAUCAAUUUUCCUACUGCAUUUGUCCUUCACAGUGUGAAACUGGUUGAGUUCCUUUAUUUAUGAAGUAAAGUAUGGUCUGCCAGCUAUCCUUGUCACCUUGUAAGUGUUGAGUCCUGGGGAAUCAAACCCUGGCGACACGCCUUUCUUGUUAAAGAGGUAAAAGUUGAAGAGCUGUCUGUCCUGUGCCUCCAGGGAGACAGAGGCGCUGUUAACCUUCAGCUUGCAGGGGUAUGGGCUCUCAAACACCACCCUGAACACCCUGUCCUGCAGGUAAUCCAGCCGGAUAGUUCGGUACUUGGAAGGGACAGUUGAGUCCACCUGUGGUCCAAACUGCUGCAUCACCAGCACCCCGUCUGACUCCACCUUAAUCUCAUAGAAGGUCAUAUUCCUGGAUGAGAUAGCUGUAGGCCUGGCUCACAAGGUCCUGGUCUGCAGGCCGAACACCAGCCAUUAGGAUCACCAGUCCCAGUUUGAGCCGUGGCACCAGGGAGAGGCUGGCCGCAUAACCGUCCAGGUCGCCGUCCUUCCUCACCACAUCAUAGCCAAACUGCUCGUUGAUCUCCCAAGGUGUGCCGGUGGAGUUGGCAAAGUAGCCGUGGUGGCAUCGGAAGAGCGGGGUCAGCAUCGUGUUCAGGGUGUCCUGGCGAAGCAAGGUCCCACCAUAUGCGCCCAGAAGAGCCAUCAUGAGCUUGGCCAUGUCAGCUGCUGUGGAAUACAUCUGGCCUGCAGGUCGGUACCACCUGAGGUUGUAAAGGGGAGCUGGCUGGCCAUUGCUGUACACACCCACAGCCAUCUGCCUCUGAAUGGCUGGAUUUAAGUUGAAACCCGUGUCCUCCAUGCUGAGCUGCUCCAGAACAUUGUCUGAAACCCAGCUCUCAAAGUCUGAGCCAGUCACCUUCUGGGCUAAGAUGUUGGCCAAUAAGGAAAAAGCAACAUUGCUGUAGUGGCAUCUGAGGGAAAAGAGAAAGUAAUGUCAGAAAGGUUUGCAAGCUCUUUUUGGAAGCAAAAUACCAAUAGGAUCCUUGUUCUAUGCAUAAGAAUCAACCUCCUUUUUCUUUUCAGAAUAUAGAAAUGCACGGAAAGUCUAAAGUCACUAGAGUUAAAAAUAGAGCAACACAGGAAGGAAACAGAGUCUUACCUGGUGCCUGGAUCAGCCACAAGGACAUCAUCUUGUAACAAAUGAAGGGCUGCCUGUGUGUCUCCGCUCCAAAGAAGAUUAGUUGACCUUAAUCUUCUGGGUAACCCUGUGAAAAUAUUAGAAAACACCAGUGAGCAAAACUGGUGAGUAAAUCUGUAAACUAUGUCGUCCAGGUACCCUUUUGUGAAUUUGACUUUCAUUUUGACUAUUGACUUUGUUGAUCUGACUUUUCCUCCAUAGCAUGAGGGGGACCUUUUUGAUUAGAUGGAUAACCAUGAAUUUUGGUACAUACAUUCACGUCUUUCUCAGAUGAAUUCUAAUAGCUGUACUUGAAAGACUUGUACCCUCAGCAGUGCAUCCGCCUCUGUUAAUCCCUCCUUUUCAUUCUUAGUGCACAGAGCUGAUUAGCUCUAUAUCUGGACACAGCUCAGUGUAAAUAUAGCUUCUCUCUCUCUGUUCAUGUGAGCCCAGGUUAGCUAAGGUGCUGUAGUGGGAGACUUGUCCUUAACAGAAACAACGUGGUGAGUAUGAGUGACUAGAGCUACAUUAUGACCAAUGUGCUUCCUUCACACGCUGCUGCUGAGCUAUGUGACUGUGAUGAAUGGAAUGAUAGGAUGUGGAAGCACCAGUUACACAAUGUAACAGCUUUGUUAUUACCAAGUAUUAGACAGUAUUAGACAUGGAUACACAGUGUUCAUUUCUGUAGAUGUGCACAACCAAUGCUCCACAGCCCCAAAUCUAAGGAAUUAUUCUAUUAGUCCAUUGGAUGUUUCUGCACCUCACAAUAUAUGUUCAAUGCAGGGUUUAGUGGAAAUGCAGGAUUUCUAUUUAUGUGUCUUUUAAUAAUAAUACUACUAAUAAUAGUACAUUUUAUUUGUAUAGCACUUUAAAAGG